GAUGAACGCUGGCGGCGUGCUUAACACAUGCAAGUCGAACGGAAAGGCCCUGCUUUUGUGGCGUGCUCGAGUGGCGAACGGGUGAGUAACACGUGAGUAACCUGCCCUUGACUUUGGGAUAACUUCAGGAAACUGGGGCUAAUACCGGAUAGGAGAUCCUGCUGCAUGGUGGGGGUUGGAAAGUUUCGGCGGUUGGGGAUGGACUCGAGGGUUAUCAGCUUGUUGGUGGGGUAGUUGCAUACCAAGGGUUUGACGGGUAGGCCACCUGAGAGGGGAGACGGGCUCCUUGCGACUGAGGGACGGACCAGUCUGCAACGUGAGGCAACGGGGGAAAGCAUUACACAGUGGGCCGGCGCCUGAUGCGACAGCGCCGCGUGCGGAAUGACGGCCUUCGGGGUGUGAACCGCUGUCUCCUUAGACGAAGCGUGCGUGACGGUAACGGGUCAAGAAGCACCGGCUAACUACGUG
rnacentral:rRNA from 1 species